GACGAACGCUGGCGGCGUGCUUAACACAUGCAAGUCGAACGGAAAGGCCUGCUUUCCCUUGUGGAUUGCGGGUACUCGAGUGGCGAACGGGUGAGUAACACGUGAGUCAUCUGCCCCCAACUUAGGUCUAAGCCUGGGAAACUGGGUCUGAUUCUCGAUAGAACUGCAGGGUGGUGCAUGUGAUGGCAGACGAUUUUCUAGUGGUUGAGGAUGCGCCCGCGGCCUAUCAGCUUGUUGGGGGGGUAAUGGCCUACCAAGGCGGCGACGCGUAGACGGCCGGAGAGGGUGGACGGUGGCAGUGGGACUGAGACACGGCCCCGACUGCUAGGGGAGGCAGCAGAGGGGAAGAUAAGGGCAUGGGCCGAAGCCUGCAGCAGCGACGCAGUGAUGGAGAUGUCGGGAUUCGGGUUGUAAGCUACUUGGGAACGAGAGGUGGCUAAGUAGUUGGGCGGGUGUUGACGGUAGUGGUAGAAGAAGCCACGGCUAACUACGUG
rnacentral:rRNA from 1 species